GGGCGCUCGGGAACGAGCUCCCGCAGAUUGGGUGCCCUGUCUAUGACCCAUUUUAUAAUAACAACACUAUCUACUUUAUAGGCUCUUGUGAAAAUUAAGUGCAAUAAUUUACGUAAAACAAACAGUGCCCGGCACAUAGUAAUCGCCUGGAAAACCUGGGCUGUUAUUAUUUGCAUUUUACAACGAGGGAAACAGGCACAGAGCCGGUAAGUAACCCGCUCAGACUAACCCCAUCAUUAACUGGCAGAGUCGGAACUAGAGCCCCGGCAAGCUGAAUCCAGAGCCCGUGUGCUUAUCUACCAGGCCUUUGUGGUUCCCAGCCCUAUUCAGAUUACAAGGCCUCCCUGCCCUUGGUCAUCCUCGCCCGAGGAAAGCUGAACUCCCCAUCAGGAGGGUUGUAAAGAGCCAGUGAUGGUCACAUGCCACCUCUACCCUUUGACCAACAUUCUCAGCCUGUCAACUUUGUCCAACACUGGAGACCUUUGGGACAUCACGCCUGCCCUUUCACUCUGGGGGAGACCGAGGCCUGGAGGAAGAAGGCUGCCCGGGCCCACCUGGCCAUCCCCUGCCACCUGGGGAGGCCGAAGAGUCUUUGAGGCAGUGAAGGAGGCAGUCGGGGGACGAUGGUGGUGAAAGGAGGCAGGAAGGGUAAG